rnacentral:rRNA from 1 species
GACGAACGCUGGCGGCGUGCUUAACACAUGCAAGUCGAGCGGAAAGGCCCUGCUUUUGUGGGGUGCUCGAGUGGCGAACGGGUGAGUAACACGUGAGUAACCUGCCCUUGACUUUGGGAUAACUUCAGGAAACUGGGGCUAAUACCGGAUAGGAGCUCCUGCUGCAUGGUGGGGGUUGGAAAGUUUCGGCGGUUGGGGAUGGACUCGCGGCUUAUCAGCUUGUUGGUGGGGUAGUGGCUUACCAAGGCUUUGACGGGUAGCCGGCCUGAGAGGGUGACCGGCCACAUUGGGACUGAGAUACGGCCCAGACUCCUACGGGAGGCAGCAGCGGGGAAUAUUGCACAAUGGGCGGAAGCCUGAUGCAGCAACGCCGCGUGCGGGAUGACGGCCUUCGGGUUGUAAACCGCUUUCGCCUGUGACGAAGCGUGAGUGACGGUAAUGGGUAAAGAAGCACCGGCUAACUACGUG